GUAAUGUCUGGGAAACUGCCUGAUGGAGGGGGAUAACUACUGGAAACGGUGGCUAAUACCGCAUAACGUCGCAAGACCAAAGAGGGGGACCUUCGGGCCUCUUGCCAUCAGAUGUGCCCAGAUGGGAUUAGCUAGUUGGUGAGGUAACGGCUCACCAAGGCGACGAUCCCUAGCUGGUCUGAGAGGAUGACCAGCCACACUGGAACUGAGACACGGUCCAGACUCCUACGGGAGGCAGCAGUGGGGAAUAUUGCACAAUGGGCGCAAGCCUGAUGCAGCCAUGCCGCGUGUAUGAAGAAGGCCUUCGGGUUGUAAAGUACUUUCAGCGGGGAGGAAGGUGUUGUGGUUAAUAACCGCAGCAAUUGACGUUACCCGCAGAAGAAGCACCGGCUAACUCCGUGCCAGCAGCCGCGGUAAUACGGAGGGUGCAAGCGUUAAUCGGAAUUACUGGGCGUAAAGCGCACGCAGGCGGUCUGUCAAGUCGGAUGUGAAAUCCCCGGGCUCAACCUGGGAACUGCAUUCGAAACUGGCAGGCUUGAGUCUUGUAGAGGGGGGUAGAAUUCCAGGUGUAGCGGUGAAAUGCGUAGAGAUCUGGAGGAAUACCGGUGGCGAAGGCGGCCCCCUGGACAAAGACUGACGCUCAGGUGCGAAAGCGUGGGGAGCAAACAGGAUUAGAUACCCUGGUAGUCCACGCCGUAAACGAUGUCUACUUGGAGGUUGUGCCCUUGAGGCGUGGCUUCCGGAGCUAACGCGUUAAGUAGACCGCCUGGGGAGUACGGCCGCAAGGUUAAAACUCAAAUGAAUUGACGGGGGCCCGCACAAGCGGUGGAGCAUGUGGUUUAAUUCGAUGCAACGCGAAGAACCUUACCUGGUCUUGACAUCCACGGAAGUUUUCAGAGAUGAGAAUGUGCCUUCGGGAACCGUGAGACAGGUGCUGCAUGGCUGUCGUCAGCUCGUGUUGUGAAAUGUUGGGUUAAGUCCCGCAACGAGCGCAACCCUUAUCCUUUGUUGCCAGCGAUUAGGUCGGGAACUCAAAGGAGACUGCCAGUGAUAAACUGGAGGAAGGUGGGGAUGACGUCAAGUCAUCAUGGCCCUUACGACCAGGGCUACACACGUGCUACAAUGGCGCAUACAAAGAGAAGCGACCUCGCGAGAGCAAGCGGACCUCAUAAAGUGCGUCGUAGUCCGGAUUGGAGUCUGCAACUCGACUCCAUGAAGUCGGAAUCGCUAGUAAUCGUGGAUCAGAAUGCCACGGUGAAUACGUUCCCGGGCCUUGUACACACCGCCCGUCACACCAUGGGAGUGGGUUGCAAAAGAAGUAGGUAGCUUAACCUUCGGGAGGGCGCUUACCACUUUGUGAUUCAUGACUGGGGUGAAGUCGUAACAAGGUAACCGUAGGGGAACCUGCGGUUGGAUCACCUCCUUACCUUAAAGAA
rnacentral:rRNA from 4 species